AUUUCCUUGGAAUCAAAUCCUAAUGCCUGACAAUGUCUCUCUCCUAAACAGUUUUUAGCCUCUACGAAGAAAGACUCCAAAUAAUAGCGAUACCAUAUAAAUGAGAACAAUUCUGGACAAUGACAUUGCUCAAUUUUAAGCAUUCUGUGAAUUUCCUAUUACAUCAGUUUCAUGAUUCAGCAUUUUCGAUUUCACUUAUUUACAGUAAUAUAUGGCGAGAUAACCCAAGCUUUCUGCAGGAUCCUGGAACAUAAGGUAGGCUGGACAGGAAGGGUGUCGCCUUCGGUUAAAUUUAUUAUUGUUUGGGAGAAUUCAAAGCAGAAGAAAGAAGGCCAUCAAAGGAACUGAGGAAUAUUCCCCCACCUUGUGCUGAGUGUUUAAAUUAUUCUGGUAUUUUAAGUGAGCUGGUUUUGAAAAAUAGGCUACUGCCAUUUAGUAGAUGACUGAAACCGAAGCCAAGAAGAGUGCAAAUGGUAAACUGACGUGCCUAAGCCAAGCGUGUUCUCUGAAAUGACAAUGUUCAAGACGCAGCUAAAGUCACCACUCUGGCGGUAAGCGUGUUACAAAGAACUCGAUUUCUUUCUGGCAUCCGCAACUUGGCUGGAGUGACCACGGAGGAGUUGAAGAGCGCUGGAAACGCGAGGGUUCGUCGCGGGUGCGUUGGCAGAAAACGGUCCGGGCCAUGAGGACCCGGCGGAAACUAAACGGAGGUCACCUGAGGGCUGUGGCCCUGGGUCAGGCUCUUGGCUUCGAGUCACUCAGCGCAAGGGGCAGAAGCAGCCUCAUCCUACAGAAGAAGGAACGGAGUCCUUUGAAAGACCCCAGGUCCACAGUCGUGAGGUGGCCAAGCCGGUUUGGUUUCAGGCAGCUUUGCUCAAGGACUCCAGCUUCCACCACUACACUCCCCUCCUCCUGUGACAACGGGUGGUGGAGAAGCAGCAGGUGUCCUGAGGUGUGUGUGUGGGGGGGGUGCGGAGUCACACCUGGGUUUGAAGCUUAGGUGUCAGUCAGGGCCUCGUGGAGCUUGAGGACACACACUACUGUGUCAAAGCAUCUGUCUAGGGCCAUCCCACCACUUCCUAGCUAUGUUAUUUGGGGCAGGUCACAAAUCCUUUUUGAACCUCAGUCUCCACCUCUGUUAAAUUGGGGAUAAAGUCACCAAUCUGGCCAUUGAUGUGGCGUUAGGAAGGCCAUCAA